GCGGCAGUUGAGACGCCGUCAGCGCACCGAGCCUCUCCCGCUCGCUAUAGCGCCCCCAUCUCUCUCUUCAGCCUCAGCACGUACCCUCUCAGCAGCCAGAGGCAUGGUUUAGUCACCUAGCGCCGCCAGUGCAGACGGAGGCCAUCGUGGAAUGCACUCCAUUGGCUGAAUUCCCUUUUUGGCAAGCACAAGGGAGGGCAACUGGGAAAUAGCUCGGCAGUAUCGAAGAAAAUCCAUCACUUGUCUUCCCAUAAGGCACCCAUCGAGGACCCAGUGAGCCCUCAGCACUGUACCAUCACUGCACAGCUCAAAGCCUGUAUCAAACUAAAGCCAAGUUGAUGCCGUCAAAGCUAAUUGUUAAAUGUUUUUUUCUGGCUCAGCUAUAGAUCCAAGGUUGAAACUCCACUGUAAGUUCCAUUAGUCCUGCUUAUCUAGGGAAAACAGCCUUGCUGUGAUGGAGUGUUUCUCUUCAAAGAUGCAAGACUGCCAUAAAUCAGAAACAAGGACAGACACCUUGAGGAUCCUUGAGAUGAGGCACAAGUCCAAAACAGUGACCACUCAGAAAGAAUGAGGUGUCCUUGUGACCAAACGUGGCUAAGGCGAGGAGGACACCUCCCCAAACAACCAAAGACCACUGAAGACCCCCACGAGUGCAGAAGAUUCAAAUAUGUUAUGUUACCUUCUACUUACAUAAUCCUGUGAAUAUAUAAUAGGAGAUUUAAAAUCAACAACAAACCCACUGGCUAAGGUUUUCUGAUGGUAAGAAGACAGAUGUCACUGUGAUGAGGGGGAUGCACGUACUGGAUGAGAACGGCAAUGUAGGAGGAAGGUAGCAACUAUCCUAAUCCAAAUAUAAGGAGGCAUUCAACUCAACUAAGACAAGAGGUUCCUUGCACCUGUAGACUAUGCAGCCUUUAAGAAGUCAGACACCCACUCUAAUCUCCAGAAGAAAGCUGUGACCCCCACCUGGGCCGGGAGAUGUUGACCCCAACUUUGCUUCAUAAGGUGGCAGGCAAUUUACAGGAACCUUGAACUGAGAACAGUACUGUGUGCAGGGAGACACGUUUGCCAAGCAUCACCGAAGAGAGAAAGCCCACCAAAAGAUGGUAAUGGAAACAGCAACCAACAGUAGCGCAUGAAAAAACUUGCAGAAGGAAUACAAGAAUAUUGUGCUAAGCAAACAACACAUAAUAGAAAACGAUGCACCAGUAGAUGAGGAAAAUGAGGAAAAGUGAAGUUUUCCUUAACGCUGUCUACAAUUGUGGAAAAUGGUUCUAGUUCAACUUUCCUUUUUUUUCUUUCCCCUUCUCCCUGCGGUAAUAGGGCUCAGAUAUGGUUAAUAACUGAACCAGGCACAAAGGAUUAAAAGGAGGCAGUAACCGGGGCAAAAGAAGUAUCUGUCUGGAGGGGUUAUAUUGCCCAACAGUUUGGUGAUAGAGGUCUAUUUCUAUACUUAAGUUGCUCUAGAAAUCCUUGGCGAAGGACUAUGGAAAUAUAAUGUUAUUUUAUAUAGAAGAAUAACACCUACAGCCUCUGCAUUAUGAUGUGCUCUGACAGGAAGCUUAUUACACACAAUCAUUUAGUUUUAGCAGUUCUGAAAUGAAGACCUCAAAAGCAGCACAAAGCAGCAAAUUUGCUCAUUCCCAGCAAGGCAAAUAAAAGAAGAAACGUUAAAAAGACACGUAAAAACACUAAAAGAGAACAGUAAGAACUAUUCUUAAAGACUUUUGUCAAUCAGGAAAAAUAAAAGAACCUUUACUGAAGAAACUAUAUUUAUGAUGGAAUGGAAGAGAGCACACUUGGAAAGAUCUUGAAUCAAGACAUAUGUACGAGGUGAAAGGUUAGUGAAAGUAAGAAAUAAUAUGGACAGCUGACUCAAACAGAUAUCCAAGUUAAUGAAUGUUAUCAGAGGAAAUGGUAAAUGCAAGAGCUAUACCAGGCGAACUUCUAAGUCACUUGAAAAGGCAGCAUACUUGAAAAGCAAAGGGAAAUAGAGAAAAACUAUUACAAAUUACCUACCACCUACCUCUCCUGUUAGCAUAUUGUGUUAGUACAAGCAGUCAGUAUUUCACACACAAGCUUACAAUCUCUUAACAGCCUAGAAAUAAUAAAAAUAAAUUAAACACACUAUAUAUAAAGCCAUGCUGCAUAAGGGCAAAUGUGCACGGAUGUUAGGUCAGAAGGUGGUAGGUGAGCUCAGCAGAAUGUGAACAAGAUUAGCAUUGUAAUUCCAGGACAGCAAGAAGAAGUUUGACAGCUGCAAGGUGAACUGUUUGAAAAAGCCUAGAAAUAACUGCAGGUUUCUCUCUCAGUUCCUCCUGAAUCAAGCCACUCUAUAAAGAGCCAGAAGGCUUGGGUGACUUUAAAGAGCUAACUGACUGUAGGAACAGGAGAGCACUGCACACCAGGACAUUGCUGUAGGAUAAAUCAUAGAGAAGUGUUUAGACAAUCUCUGACUUGAAGAAUUAAAAGAAAAUAUUUACUGCACAGAUCAGAGCUAGACAACAGAGCACAAGUUCUUCCAAGGAAGUAUGUUAAUAUCACCGUAAUUUAUCACAGGUAACUCAAAUGAUGCAUGACUGAACAGUGAGUUAUGAAGUGCAUUUUCUUGCUAUUUGACUUUUGUAAUGGACAUAAAUCAAUUAAUGAAAAAUAGGCUUCAGUCUCCCCAUUCUUUCAGAAGAGACGAGAUAUGCAAUUAAGUGUAAGUGUAAGUCUUCACAUUUUCACAGCCUGAACUUUUUAUUAUCUGGCUGAUAAUGAAAGUACCCCACUUUAUCUGGAGUGGAUACUCUGACUUCACAGCUGUAAUAUAUUUUUUAAUUACUUCUUAAAGUCACUGGACUGCCAAUAACAAAUUGCCAUUCCUUUCAUGUGACAAAGAAAUUAGAGCUAAGCGGGGGGACAAAUCAUUCCUAUCAACAACAAUCAGCUAAUCCAGAUCAUCAAAAUUAGUCAAGUGUCAGUUUUCUUAUUCAUAUACUCUUGCUCUUCCUUCACACUACCAGCUACCUAUGGUACGUAAUACUGAACCAGGAGCAAGAUCAGAGAUUUGAAGUUUUUAUAUUUUUUAAAAAGCAUACUUGAUUCAAUAUUGAACUCUUACCUACUGAUUUUUCAGUUGCUUCACAUCAUCUAAAAAGGCUUAGAAUCCAAUCUCUGUAUAACAAAUGUUUAUUCAGAAACAGAUAAUACAUAAUCUUCUCCAGCCCUAACAUUUCUCCCCCUCCCCCCGAUUUUUAUU